GGGAGUAUAGCUCAGUGGUAGAGUGCGUGCUUAGCAUGCACAAGGUCCCAGGUUCAAUUCCCAGUACCUCCA
rnacentral:tRNA from 1 species